rnacentral:lncRNA from 1 species
GAAGCCAGCAAGACAGUAUGGGUGCUUCUAAUUUGUGGUCUCCAGAGAGGAAAUUUUGUCUAAGAAUUUUUUUUUUGAGAGAUCAGUUGGACAAGAACAUCCCUUCAAGUUACUAGAAGAAGAAUGGACCUUUUUGAUGUCACUGUUAUUCCAGAAAGAAUCUCUGGCAUGCUCCCCUCCAGCUAACGUCAGAAAGAAAAGGGGGCCCUUGCAAAUCACUCCAGCAAAAAAAAGUUAGAGACCAAGACAUGACUGCAAGCACAAAGGUGGACAUAUGCCCAAGACUUGCCAAUCAUUUUAUCCCCUGAACCUAGACAUUAUGGUCAUCUGGUCAUAAAAUGUGUUCAAAGAUAAAUGCCU